CCCUACGGGACGCAGCAGUGAGGAAUAUUGGUCAAUGGGCGCGAGCCUGAACCAGCCAAGUAGCGUGCAGGAUGACGGCCCUCCGGGUUGUAAACUGCUUUUAGUUGGGAAUAAAAGGGGGCUCGUGAGCCCCGUAUUGUAUGUACCAUCAGAAAAAGGACCGGCUAAUUCCGUGCCAGCAGCCGCGGUAAUACGGAAGGUCCGGGCGUUAUCCGGAUUUAUUGGGUUUAAAGGGAGCGGAGGCAGGCUUUUAAGUAAGCUGUGAAAGUCCGCGGCUCAAACGUGGAAUUGCAGUUGAAACUGGG
rnacentral:rRNA from 1 species